CAUGUCCUUUUGAUAAUAAUUUAAGGUCUAAUCUGCUCAAUGAUUAAUUAAAUUGCCGCAGUAUUUUGACUGUGCUAAGGUAGCAUAAUAAUUAGUUUCUUAAUUAGAAGCUUGUAUGAAUGAUUGGACAAGAAAUUUUCUGUCUCUUUUUAAAUUAUUUUUGAAUUUUAUUUUUAAGUUAAAAAGCUUAAAUUUAUUUAAAAGACGAGAAGACCCUAUAGAGUUUAAUAUCUAGGUUUUAUUUAAUUUUGGAUUAAUUCUUGAAUUUUAGAUAUUUAGUUGGGGUGACAGGGAGAUUUAAUAAAUUCUUUUAUUUUUUAAUUGAUGAUUUUUAAUUUUUUUAUCUAUAAUUUUUAAAUUUAAAAUAAAUUACCUUAGGGAUAACAGCGUAAUUUUUUUUAAAAGUUCACAUUAUAAGAAAAGUUUGCGACCUCGAUGUUGGAUUAAAAUUAAUUUUUGGUGCAGUAGCUUAAAAAUUAGGUCUGUUCGACCUUUAAUAUUUUACAUGAUCUGAGUUUAAACCGGCGUAAGCCAGGUUGGAUUCUAUCUUUAGUUUACUAAUAUAUUUUAGUACGAAAGGACCAAAUUUAUGUUACAUUAAUUG
rnacentral:rRNA from 1 species